GUCGCGGGUGAGUGGUGUCGAGGCCUGUUGGGUCAGGGCGGUUCGCAGGUGCUGUCAGAGCUGGGCGGGGCAGCCGGGUCGUAGAGGCGGGCGCCAGUCGCGGUCGGUGGAGAGGGAUGAGGAUGUAGGAGGGACGGACGUGGCGGAAGCCGCGGGGACUGCGGGGGCGGAGUGCCUCUGGGGAGCCAGGGAGGCCUUUCCAGAGGCUCCUGGGGGAAGAAGAGGCGAAGCGAGAGUCCCCGGGGAAGCCCUACUCCACCCCCAGCCGGAGCCUGGGUUGUGCCUGCACGGACCAGAGCCCACAGUGCGAGUUGCUGUAGGCAACCAGCUAGGGUGGCCAACUUCUCCCGGUUGGCCCGAGAUGUUCUGGUUUUGGGACCACAGCGUCCCAGGCCUCCAGCCCACCACAGUGACCAUAUUGUGCGCCCCCUGCCCAUCUUCUCCCGCAGCUUCCCUAGAUUAGGCUUGGGAGGCAAGGGGAGGCCUCCUGACUUUUCUCACUGCCUUCGUUAAUAUAAAGAUGAAGGCACACUCCACAACUUCCUUCUGGCCAGGCCCAGACAUGUCUGUCCUUGUGAGAUAAAAGCUUCCAUGGGAGCCUUCCUUCCUAAUCAAGGCCUCUUUGACAGAUGGCACUGGUGAGGUGGAUUGAUGAUGAAUCUUCUGGCACACCUGGAGCAACUCCAGAACACAGUCGUGAGGAUAAUGGGAAUUUACUGAAACCCGUGGAAGGAAGCCUUUAAGGAAUGGAAAGAGUGGAUAAUAAAAUGCCUGACUGUUCUCCAAAAAUAAGGACCUUCAAAUAGGAGUGAUUGAAAUAAAUGACUACUUGCAUGUUAUGCUUUCAUUUGGGUGGAAUACUUCAUCAGAAUAAACUAUUGAUCUUGUGCUGUGUCAAA
ensembl:lncRNA AMZ2P1 AMZ2 pseudogene 1